rnacentral:ncRNA from 1 species
GCCUCUGGAGAAUCCCAACCAUGGGUGCCGAAGGGGCAAGGUGAAACGCAGGCCGCAAGACCUAACCGCAAACAGCUUCAACAAGCUGCAGUGGCGAACCGUUUCACUGAAACUCUCAGGCAAAAGGACAGAGAAA